GACGUAGGGCGCGAGCGUUGUCCGGAUUUAUUGGGCGUAAAGAGCUCGUAGGCGGUUUGUCGCGUCGAAUGUGAAAACCCGGGGCUCAACUCCGGGCCUGCAUUCGAUACGGGCAGACUAGAGUUCGGUAGGGGAGACUGGAAUUCCUGGUGUAGCGGUGAAAUGCGCAGAUAUCAGGAGGAACACCGGUGGCGAAGGCGGGUCUCUGGGCCGAUACUGACGCUGAGGAGCGAAAGCGUGGGGAGCGAACAGG
rnacentral:rRNA from 1 species